rnacentral:rRNA from 1 species
UACGGAGGGUGCAAGCGUUGCUCGGAAUCAUUGGGCGUAAAGCGCACGUAGGCGGUCGGCUAUGUCGGAUGUGAAAGCCUCGGGCUUAACCCGAGAAGGGCAUCCGAAACUGGCCGGCUUGAGUAUGGAAGAGGGUCUCGGAAUUCCCGGUGUAGAGGUGAAAUUCGUAGAUAUCGGGAGGAACACCAGUGGCGAAGGCGGAGACCUGGGCCAAUACUGACGCUGAGGUGCGAAAGCGUGGGGAGCAAACAGG